rnacentral:lncRNA from 1 species
AAUUGACUUUAUUAAUGAGGAAAUUUACAGACUCAUAUACUUGGGAGUCUACAGAUUGUGAGGUCUUCUGGAUGGUUGGUCCAGCAUCUCAAAGAUGCCCUGAAGCACCUAAAUUCUUUCUGACUCUGCUUUUAUCCAUGGUAUAGCUUCAUUCUAAAAGGGGUUCCCCCUUAGGGUCACAGGAUGGCAGCCAAAAGCAAUAGGUCUCCUAAUCUUUUUUUUUUUUUCACUUGAAAAUACACAUAAACAAUAAGCAUAUAGUAAAAGUUGUGAACUUAAUAAACAAACAUACAUAACAUCAUAAAUGGCUCCCAUACAUUACCCCACCACCAACACCUUGCUUUGUGAAAUAUUUGUUACAAAUUAUGAAAGAGCAUCAUCAAAGUACUGAUGUAUUUUUUGCUUUGUUCUCUUCUAGGCCUUCUCCAAGUGGUGGUACGAUCUACAUUAUCUUUGCAAGAUUGCAUCAUUUUAAAAAUGUUUUUUCUUCCCUACUGGGAUUUCCAUAUGCGAAGUUUAAGGGUACACUCCAGUCUCUGGGAGCUGUAGCUGCCAGUCCAGUUCCAAACAGCUGGCCGAGCAGUCCAAAGAGGAGUGGGAACCAAGGGGAACAGGAGCCCAUCUAGUCAGUGAUGGCGAUUCUUGGUGGCUCCAGGCAAUUUGGUUUUUCAAGGUACAGUCAGGUAUGGGGUGAGUUGUCCAGUUGUUUUGUUUCUUGUUGGAGUGUGCCAUUUUAACUCUAGUAUGAUGAAUCCAAGGACAAAUACCUGAAACUUUGAGAGCAGUGGGGGUUACAAGGAAAACAGUAUGUGGGCCCAUCCAGGUAGGUUAGAGGGGCUCUUUUUCAGUUUUUGUGACACAUACAAUUAAAUAAUUACAACCAUGAUUAACAACAUUGUACUUUUGUUUAAUAUUAUGCUGAAACAUUGGUAGAUUUCAGGGAAUUUUAUAUACUCCUUAAAUAUUCAUAUGAACUUUUUACUCAUACAACUUUAAUUAACAGAGGGUUAAAUAAUCCUUUUAAUUUUAUAACACUUUUAAGAACUUUCCAUUUAACUUAUAACAUAUUAAAGGAUUUUAUUACAUUAAUUUUUCAAGGUAAAAGAACAAUUUUUUUGCAGUAAGUUUGAAAUAAAAAUAUAUUUUUCAGAAUCUGAUCUUGAGACAGCAAGUUUGAACAUCAUGUUCCUUAAAAAGAGAUGAGACUUGUUUCUUUUAGAAAACCAAAGAAAUGAUAAGGUUAAAGUACAAGAAGCUAUUUUGAUAAAACAGACUUUCUUUGUAUACUGAUUAUUCAGGAGAAAAACUUUUUAUAAACUUUUAAUAAAGCAGACUAGUGACUUGAGAAACUUUGUCACACUAAUAGAAAAAGAAUAAAAUUUCAACUUUGCAUCAGUAUACUAUUUGAUACUAAAGCUUUUAAAAUUUUAUAGAUAGACCCAUCAAAUCUUACUUAACUUUAACC